UUCGACAGUCGACUGCACAGGUCAAAACUCUUCCGCGGCGAACAAAUCGCAUUACUCUGAUACUGAUAUCAUAGUAAUAAAACAAUAUAAAAGUACCAAUUUUUGUUAAGUUUUAUUUGUUAUUUUUUUUUAUGUAUACGCUCCGAAUAAUCGUGUAUCGUGCGAUGUUCUCGUGAUUUUAACACGUUCGUUUCGCAAACGUCUGUAACGUGCAAGUUACGUUUUUGUUCUUAAAAGAAAAAUUAUGCGUUUAAUGUUUAUCUGAAAAUCGAUUUUGCGAAUAAUUGGGAUCCGCAAUGUCCGGGCCAAAAUUACUACUGCGAGUAAGUACAGCUAAUUUUUGAAUAAUUAUCACCCCAACCGUUAUCAUAUUAUUAUAUUUCUUACUUCUAUUGCGGUUUCAUAAUUGUGAACUACAUGCUGCAUCUCGUCGUAAUAACCAUCAUAAUAUGUCGCUAUCGUUUGCCACGUUCUUCAGCUGUGAAUAUGAUGUAUAUCUAGGGUCGGACUGGAUAGGGUUCGACCCACUAUAACAGAUAUAGCGGUGGCCUUACCCUAUUAUGAAAAGAAAUUUCGCUCAUUAACCAUAUUAAUAUGAAAUGUUUUUUUCUCUUUACGAAUUAUUUUUACUUGGAUACGUACUUAGUGAGAGGACUCACUCGCGUAUAAGAUCAAUAUUGUUAUAUUGACAAUAUUGUUAUAUAGGACAAGUGCGAUAAUAUUAAAUUUGCUACAAUCGAUUGAAUUCAUUGUCAAGAUAUAUCAUUAUAAUUUUAACUAUUGAGCGUGUUUUAACAAAUUGUUGUAUCAUUAUCAAUUUGUAUUCUAAUUAUUUAAUUUCAUCCGGAAAUAGAUAAAUUGCUAAGCGCAUUUUCCCAUAAUGAAUUUUAUACGAUCAUAUUAUUAUUAUUUAGAGUGUACCUUUUUUUUUUUCCAAAACGUGACUGAAAAUUCAAUUUCAAAUACAAACGAAUAAUAUAAUAUAUUAUAAUAUAUUUUCGAUAUUCUUGAUUAACACAAUACCAACAUUAUAUAUUAUAAUGAUUGUUCAUAAUAUAUUAUUUUAUUCUACCUUUGCACUCGAAAUAAUAAUAGUAUUCCAAUUUUUUUAUGUCACACCUAAAAAUAUGCGGAUUUUUUGCUUGGUGGUACUUCGUUUAACAAAUUUAAUGAAAUGCUGAGUAGUUUAAUCCUUGAUUCAUUUAUUAUUAUUAUUAUUAUUUAUGAUGAUUUCUGAGUUCCCUUGGCAACAAGGAAGAAAUACCACAAAUACUACUUCACUCAGAAUCGUUUUUCGAUUGCAAUAAUUAUCGUUACAUACCAUGUAUAAACUAAUUUACAUAGAAUAUUCUUCAACCUACUCAACUAUCCAUGAACAGUGUCAACUUUAUUAUUAUUAUUACUAUUAUUGUUAUUAUUAUUAUUAUUAUUAUUAUUAUUAUUAUUAUUAUUGCAUUUGGUAAUACUUAUACACAAUUAUUGUUAGUAAAUUAUGUAUUACCUAAUCAUCACGACAAUCACACGGAAAAAUUAUACUAUUUCGAGUAAUGCCAGAGAUAAUAUUUUCUAGAACUUCGACGUUUUGACCAUUGUUAAUAAUAUUCGAGUUGUAAAGAAUUCGCACGGUUUUCUCUCAUUGUCUUUUUGCUUAUUUUGUAUUAUUAUUAUUUUUUAAGAAUUGUUUCCUUUAUUCGCACUAUAGAUCACCGUCAUUGUUCGCAGUCUUCACUUAUUGUUAUUAUACAGUUAUAAUUUGUUAUUGUACCGCCGCCACCCCGCCACAAGAUAAUCUUAUAAUCAGCCGUUUAAACGAUGAAACAACCGUUAAAAUAGUUUUUACGUAAUUAUUAUUAACGCAUCCGUUACGCAUAAUCAUGAUUGGUACCCCGGCGAUGGCGUAGUAUUAUUUUUAUCAAAUAUAUUUAAUAUUAUAAUACUAAAAUUACGUAAUUUUAGAUUUGCUUGCUGAUCUGGUUGACAGUCAGUACGACUCUAUGUUCGAGAAACAUCGUCGACCAGUCGAGGCUAAUAGCUGACAGGCCUAAACAUCAAAGUAAGCAGUCUUCACCAUGGGAUCAAAAUACGAACUUAGGAUGGAAAAAUAAACAAGUUUCAUCCGUUCCACCAUAUGCUGUGAAGAUGGAGCCCAUGGUGCAUUAUUCGCAACAGGAUCCACUCUAUGUGACGGCACACAAUAAUUUCAAUAGUAAUAAUAAUUCUUCAACGGCGAAAAUCGACUUUGUCGAUAACCAAGUGAGCGGUUCUGAAAUUGGAAUUUCGUCAAACUAUGGUCCACCCAACCCUGCUGCCGUGUACGGAGUACCGUACCAACCGGCUGACUAUUACAAGGAACCGGAACCGAUUAUCGAAAUUAUUAUUAAAGAAUCGAAUGAAUCGCUUCCGGCACCGCCGACACCACCACCCAUCCCGGUCACAAGACCACCAAAAGAACCCGUUCAAGUUUUUUACGUAAAAUACAAAAAAAAUCCCAAUUCGUACGGUGACAAAGAAGAUAUCAUAUAUGAACCACCGGUACCGGCGUUAACACCCAGUACCGAAUCAGUAAGUGAAAGUGAAACGACGUACACUACAGAGCCAUCUCCUCUUUAUAACAAUUACGUUACGGGACCUCCGUCGCCCAGCACCACGUACAGAACUAUAAUAAAACCUGAUUCAGAAAUUUAUCACGGGACGGGCCUAAAAGUUACUUUCGGAAACACAGAAUCGAGCUGGAGCCCAUCGUCUUUAAAUAAAGCGGAAAAUAGAGACUCUGUCAGUGAAGCGAGCGACGUUCAAAAUAAACUCAAGAAAAAUACUGAUCAAGAAUUUAAAAGAAGUUUUGUUCAACCACAACCUGCGGAUUACCAACGUUCCAACAAUUUUGAAAAUUCACAGAUUGCUAACCAACCCCAAUUUAAUGGAUUUAACACUCCGAAUUCGAACGUUGAUCUAUCGCAACAGCAGUUGAGGAAACCUAGUCCACCAGUUCAAAAUUACUUUCAAGAAGAUAGUCCUCGUUCACAUUUUCAAGGUCAAAUACCAGUCAUAAAUCAACCAUUUAAACCUCAGCCAAAUAACUUCCAAGGAAUCGUUGAACAAAGGCCUUCGGAAUCUAAGGAUAAUUUUAGAAAUCAACCAAAUCAUCAUCAAUUUAGUAAUCAACAAAAUCCUCAACAAUUUAAUAAUCAACCGAAUACUCAACAAUUUAAUAAUCAACCGAAUACUCAACAAUUUACUAUUUCCCAAAGCCAUCAACAAAUAAAUAACCAGCCAAACCAUCAUCAACAUCAGUUAAAUAAUCAACAAAAUCAUCAACAAUUAAAUAAUCACCAAAAUCAUCAGCAAUUUAAUAAUCCACCAAACCAUCAACAAUUAAACAACCCACUGGCUAAUUCACAAUUAAUAAACAACCAACAAAGUCAUCAAUUACAUUUAAAUAACCAACAAUUUAGUAAUCAACAAAAUCACCAACAUUUUAUUAAUCAACAACAAAGACAACCAGAUUUCCAAACAAGCCCUCUGUUGAGAAAUCCAUCGGGUGGUUUUCAAGAGCGACCUGUACAAAUCAAAUCUCCAAAUAACGAAAGACCGCUUAUAAGUAAACCUAUUGAAAAUCGACCACCCGCAAGUCACGUGCAAGACCGACCUUUCGACAACAGACCAUUUGAAAGCCGUCCCGUCCCGGACAAAACUUUUGAAAAUCGACCAUUCGAAAACAUCCCACCAGUACAAAAUAGACCGUUUGAUAACCAACCGACCGCCCAGAGUAAACCUUUUGAAAAUCGGCCGAUAUUCGACAGGCCUUAUGAGAAUAGGCCGUUUUUACAAAACAGGCCCGUUGAAAUAAGUCGACCGACUCAAGAUAGACCUUUCGAUAAUAGACAUCACAAUCAAGUGACGAUAAAUUAUAGACCGAACAAGCCACCAACAUCGUUGCAAAGUGUACCAGCCAACCCUAACCCUUCGUUUACACCAAACGAUAGACGACCGACGGUUCCGCCGCCACAGCUUCCCACGAGUUAUAAUACUCAGCCAAUCGGUAUAAAACAUACGGUUGAUUUACCGUUUUUCUCCCCACAACAACAACAACAGCAACAGCAGCAGCAACAGUUCCAACAACAGCAGUUCCAGCAACAGCAAUACAAAUCCACUGAAAUACGUCCAUCAAUAGCCAACAAUAAUAAUCCAACAUUGACCCAACAACAGCUACCAAUCAAGCAACAGCAAUUCUCAACGGAAGUUAAGACUUCGCAGCAUCAACACCAGCAACCAGCAAAACAACAGUAUUUUAUUCCCGAACCGAAACAACCAUCGUCAACAUCGCAAAUACAAAUCACCCAAUCGAACGGCUAUAAACUCGAACAAAUAAAACAGCAACCGACACAAUCUAGCCAGUUUAUCGAUAUCAACUAUAACAAUAAUAAUAAUAAUAAUAAUAAUAAUAAUAGAUACCAGCAGCCAGUGCAAACGGAACAAAAUUCUUUCCGCACCGACAACAACCCAUGGCAACCACAAAGUUCGUUUAAACUCCAGGAACCGACACCAUCGAUGUACAAAGAGUAUUUGAGCGCGAGCACGUUAAAAAAUACAAUAGACACGACAGGUAAGUCCGUAGCAGUUUCGAAAACCACUGAAAAACCCUCAUCGUUUGUGACGUCAUCGCCGUACAAUGAACGCAGUACAACACCAACAACCGUUACAACAGCCCCUGCUCUGAAACAAACUACAACCGAAGUGGCCAAAAACAUCACAGAAAAACCCAAAAACACCGCUUCCCUUCCGGACGAAGUACCCGACGAACUGAGGGAACAACUUCUUUCCUCCGGGAUUUUGAGCAACGCUGACAUUCAAAUAUUGGACUACGACAAGGUGGGCGAUAUACCGAUUGAAAGUCUACCACCCGAAGCUUUGGAAAAUUUUUACGGCCAGGGCAGUGCACCAGUACCAUCAAUUGUUUUGCCCCCCAAGAAAUCUGACGUCCAAAUGAAAGUCGUCAAAUAUGACCCAUCGACGGAAGAAGGCAGAAAAAUCGAAAACACCUAUGUCGACCGCUCCAAAUCACAAACUCUCGACCCAGUUGUUUUAAACGACACCGGUUAUAAUCGAUUUUUACCGUUAAACAUUAACGGCACCUACUUCCCGAUACCGAAUUCGCCGUUGUUAAAAAACAAAGCCAUCGGAAGUGUAGUUAUAUUAUCACCGGUUGGGUAUGAUUUGUCGGACGACGACGAUCAAUCCCGAGUGUCUAGAAACACUGCGAUUAAAGUGAAAGGCGUCCAUUUCGUUGUCGGCGAUAUUGUGAAAAAUCUUGUCAGAGAUCCAAACAGAGAAAAUUUCGAAACUUGGCUGGAGAAAGAAAGAGGUACACCCACCGAAGAACAAUCGGUCGUACUUUUGGUCACUAAGUAAGUACAGCGUUUAUUUAUAUAAAUGUAUAAUUUAUUUAUUCUGCGUAAUGUAAAUACGUCGUCUUACGUACCUAUUUAAUUUGUUGGAAAGAUAAUAAAAACGAAUUUUCCAAUUUCAAAUCCGAUUGCUUUCGCUGACACGAAAUAUAACACGAGUAUUUCCGAUUUCGUUAUAUAUAUAUACGGAAGAGUAGACGAGUAAACAAAUAUAAUAUAUACGUUUUUGAUUAACUUUUUUUAGUUUUCACUUAAUAAACGACAAAUGUUUUUAACAAUAUAUUGCGUUAAGUAGUUAUUUUUUUUUCAUUUAGCACCAAAUAAUUUUUUACUAUAGCUAUUAAAUUAUCGAUAAUCGUUUUUUUUUUCCAGACCAAAUGGCAACGCAAAUGGAAAGGAAAUUUACAUGUACGACGUGACGCACAAUCAGGUCAAUAAAUUGUCGGGAGAAUUGAGUGCGACUUUCGUAGAUGUGGCCGAGUCGAACUCGCUAAGUCACGAUUUGGAUAACCUAUCGUCCGAAGAGGAGGUGGAUGUCGUGGUAUCCGGAAAUAGCACCAACAACGAUAUAACUACUCCCGCUGUAUCCGGUUACAGUAAAACCACGAACGACUCCUUGGGCUCAAUUGUUGCCACUGCCAAUAAUUAGACUGAUCUGUUAUUAACGAAACAUGUAAUAUGUGUUAUUCUUAAAGGUUUAAUUUAAAUUUGUAUGUGUAUCAUCACUUUUAUUUUAAUAUUUUCAAAAUUGCGAUAGAUAUAGCAAAUAAAAAAAUUAAAACAAUCAUUUGUUUUCAAAUAUAGGUAAAAUAAUAUUUUAAAAAAAAAUCUUUUCUUUUCUUUUUAUCUAUAAAUUAUAGAUUUUAUAGAUACUUGUCUAGAAUGUAGAAUUUGAGUAAAAUAUUGCUCG